CUUGAUAGUGCAGCACAAAGUGGGAGGUAAACUCCUUCUAAAGCUAAAUAUCACCACGAGACCGAUAGCGAACAAGUACCGUGAGGGAAAGUUGAAAAGCACUCUGAAUAGAGAGUCAAAAAGUACGUGAAACUGCCUAGGGCUCAAGCCCGUUGAACUCGAUUAUCCGAGCGGAGACAUUCACCUGCGGUUGGUCGGUUCCGCCGGCAGGCCGCAGGGCACUUGUCUCCCGCGUCAAGAGGACAUUGCGAUCCAUUACGAAACAGCUUUCGCGUCGCAAGACGCAAGGUCGCCCGACAGUUGCCCCUUGGUGCUGGUUGCUUGCCCCACAGUAGCGACGCUCAGUUCUGAAGGCCUGUGCCGCGAGGUGGGGCUUACUGCACGUGGUGUUUGCAGUCGGGCGCGUGAUGGAUUUCCGCGUACACCGUCGGUCUUCCCGCAAUGGACCGGCGGACUGUCGAUCGGCAAUGAUAAAAUC
rnacentral:rRNA from 1 species